AGGGAUGUAGUUCAAAGGGAGAAUAUCCGGUUUUGACCCGGAUGCAGAGGGUUCGAUACCUUCCAUCCCUG
rnacentral:tRNA from 1 species